UUCCAGAUGGUCGGGGCACAUCAGUGAAUGAAGCGGACAACAGUAUUUUAGAAAAGGUCUGAUGGAAUCAAGACUGGCCUUUGGGCUGCUGCUGUUGUUCUGAAGAUGAAGAAGUGAUGAUGAGGACGCCUGACUCCGCCUGGCUCAUAUUGUGACGCUGGUGUAGAAGAAACCUAUUCUCUUCUUCCCUGGACUCCUUGUCAGAAUGUGACUUCUCAGCAGGCAGGGCAGAUAAAUGCUCAGCUGCUUGGC